rnacentral:rRNA from 1 species
AUUGAACGCUGGCGGCAGGCCUAACACAUGCAAGUCGAACGAGUGGCGGACGGGUGAGUAAUGUCUGGGAAACUGCCUGCUGGAGGGGGAUAACUACUGGAAACGGUAGCUAAUACCGCAUACCAUCAGAUGUUCCCAGAGGGGAUUAGCUAGUUGGUGGGGUAACGGCGCACCAAGGCGACGAUCCCUAGCUGGUCUGAGAGGAUGACCGGCCACAUGGGAACUGAGACAGGGUCCAGACUACUACGAGAGGCAGCAGUGGGUAAUAUUAGACAAUGGGCGCAAGCCUGAUGCAGCCAUGCCGCGUGUAUGAAGAAGGCCUUGGGGUUGUAAAGUACGUUCAGCGGGGAGGCGUUACCCGCAGAAGAAGCACCGGCUAACUCCGUGCCAGCAGCCGCGGUAAUUC